rnacentral:lncRNA from 1 species
GGGGAAGGUGCGGGAGGAGCGCCCCCUCUGCCCCGCCGCCCGCGAGGGAGGGAAGGAGCGGCGGGGUGAAGGAGCGCGAUGAUUAGUCCGUGCAUCUGUCAAUCUACCCGUCUCUAGUGUCUCAUUGGUUCCUUUCCCUUUCUUCUCUCCCCCUCCACCCUUCCUACCUAGCAUUUCCCCCACCGGAAAGAGGCGGGACAUCGCUGACGAUUGACAGGUUAUCUGACCAACUGAGAUAAGAGAUUUUCAUACAGUGUCCAGUUUCCUGACCUGCUGCUGCAGCUUGCAAGAAAUAAAUACAAAAAUUUGUGACAAACACCUGAGGACUUUCCAUUUCCUCCAGAGAUGCUGCUGUUUAAAAAAGAAAUCAAAAGUCCCUGUGCUUGCUCCCUGGAGGGUGUGGUGUCUUUUGCAGAAAUAACAAGAAUUGUGAGCUUAAACGCAAUUGUUUUAAGAAACACCUACAUUUUUUCGACUAUCAUUUCCCAAUGGCAGCAAUGUAGAAAUUUAAAAAUCAACUCUGAGGGGACAUUUCCAAAGUAUAGAUGUUACCUUUCAAACUUAAAAGUUCCCCCAAGCUUUCCUUGGCACCUUAUUCUCCAUAAAAGGGGUUCAUUUAUGCUAGAAAUUCAGGGGUUCUGGUGGUAA